AUUGAACGCUGGCGGCAGGCCUAACACAUGCAAGUCGAGCGGUAGAGCGAAGCUUGCUUCUCUUGAGAGCGGCGGACGGGUGAGUAAUGCCUAGGAAUCUGCCUGGUAGUGGGGGAUAACGUUCGGAAACGGACGCUAAUACCGCAUACGUCCUACGGGAGAAAGCAGGGGACCUUCGGGCCUUGCGCUAUCAGAUGAGCCUAGGUCGGAUUAGCUAGUUGGUGGGGUAAUGGCUCACCAAGGCGACGAUCCGUAACUGGUCUGAGAGGACGAUCAGUCACACUGGAACUGAGACACGGUCCAGACUCCUACGGGAGGCAGCAGUGGGGAAUAUUGGACAAUGGGCGAAAGCCUGAUCCAGCCAUGCCGCGUGUGUGAAGAAGGUCUUCGGAUUGUAAAGCACUUUAAGUUGGGAGGAAGGGCAGUAAAUUAAUACUUUGCUGUUUUGACGUUACCGACAGAAUAAGCACCGGCUAACUCUGUG
rnacentral:rRNA from 1 species